AUGGAGGAGGCGGAGAAAGGGGAGCUCUUGGAGAGGGACACCAAGCCAACGGCCGGCCUGCCCCUGCUCACCGACGACCUCAUCCUGGAGAUCCUCUCCCGCCUCCCCGUCAGAUCCCUCCACCGCUUCAAGUGCGUCUCCGUGUCCUGGCGCGACCUCAUCGCCGACCCCGCCAACCGCAAGAAGCUGCCCCAGACCCUCGUUGGCUUCUUCUACAUGACCAUCAACAACAGGAUCGGCCACCACUUCGCCAGUGUCUCCGGGGACGGCGCAGCCCCGUUCGACCUUUCCAUCCCUUACCUGCACAAUAACAAGUACGGCGGCAUCACCCAGUUGGACGCCUGCAAUGGCCUCCUUCUCUACUGUGGCUUCAAGAAGAAGAUGGAGAGUUGGGAUGAUUUCCGUUUUCUAGUGUGCAAUCCCGCCACUGGGAGGUGGGUGGAGCUGCCCCCUCGGCCGCCUGUGCCCGUAAAGAGAUAUAGCUGUACCACAGGUCUUGCUUUUGAUCCGGCAGUCUCAUCUCAUUUCUACGUUCUUCACUUUGAGCAGGCGGUUCCAGAAACUUACAUCACAGGAGUGAACAUCUACUCGUCACGGACAGGAGCCUGGAGUUUCAGGAGUGGUAGUAGGAUGGUUGAGAAAGUGGUGCCGCUCAAUAGUAAAUGUGUCUUCGUCGGCGGUAUGAUGUAUUUGAUUGGCAACCUGAUGGACUUCAACAACAUAUACGUGCUGAUGGUGGUGGACAUGGAGGGGAAAGUGUGGAAGACUAUCCCUGUGCCGUAUGGCCAAAGAUCUGCCACGAUUGGAGUGUCGCAGGGGUGCUUGCACUAUGUUGUAGCUUCAACGGUUUCAGUCAAUGAUAGUAAUGAAAUCCUAGAUUCUGGGAUAACACUUUGGUGCCUCAAGGAUCGUGACAGUAAAGAAUUGGUUCUGAAGCGUUCUGCCAACAUCAAUGAGCUUAUGGGCAUGAUUGGGGAGAAGUAUACGGUGGCUGAGAUUCAUCCAGAUUGUGACACCGUUUUCUUGAUGUCAUCUGGAGGUGACACCUUGGUAGUGUAUGAUAUGCAACAUCAGAAAGUUGGCUGUGUCCUUAAUCUUGAGAAAGGCAUUACAAAACCGAAACAGUUUCUACCCUAUGUUCCUCUCUUCUCGGAGUCAUUACCAGAUGCAGAUGGGCAGUAG
rnacentral:rRNA from 1 species